rnacentral:rRNA from 1 species
UACAGAGGUCCCGAGCGUUUGUUCGGAUUCACUGGGCGUAAAGGGUGCGUAGGUGGUUAGGUAAGUCCGAUGUGAAAUCUCCAGGCUCAACCUGGAAAUGGCAUUGGAUACUAUUUAGCUUGAGGAGUGGGAGGGGGGACUGGAAUUCUCGGUGUAGCAGUGAAAUGCGUAGAUAUCGAGAGGAACACCAGUGGCGAAGGCGAGUCCCUGGACACUUCCUGACACUGAGGCACGAAAGCUAGGGGAGCAAACAGG